rnacentral:rRNA from 1 species
GACGAACGCUGGCGGCGUGCCUAAUACAUGCAAGUAGAACGCACAGUUUAUACCGUAGCUUGCUACACCAUAAACUGUGAGUUGCGAACGGGUGAGUAACGCGUAGGUAACCUGCCUGGUAGCGGGGGAUAACUAUUGGAAACGAUAGCUAAUACCGCAUAAUAUUAAUUAUUGCAUGAUAAUUGAUUGAAAGAUGCAAUUGCAUCACUACCAGAUGGACCUGCGUUGUAUUAGCUAGUAGGUGAGGUAACGGCUCACCUAGGCGACGAUACAUAGCCGAACUGAGAGGGUGAUCGGCCACACUGGGACUGAGACACGGCCCAGACUCCUACGGGAGGCAGCAGUAGGGAAUCUUCGGCAAUGGACGAAAGUCUGACCGAGAAACGCCGAGUGAGUGAAGAAGGUUUUCGGAUCGUAAAGCUCUGUUGUAAGAGAAGAACGGGUGUGAGAGUGGAAAGUUCACACUGUGACGGUAUCUUACCAGAAAGGGACGGCUAACUACGUG